rnacentral:rRNA from 2 species
UACGGAGGGUGCGAGCGUUGUCCGGAAUCACUGGGCGUAAAGGGCGCGUAGGCGGCCUGAUAAGUAGGGGGUGAAAUCCUGCGGCUUAACCGCAGGGCUGCCUUCUAAACUGUCGGGCUCGAGCACAGUAGAGGCAGGUGGAAUUCCCGGUGUAGCGGUGGAAUGCGUAGAGAUCGGGAAGAACAUCAGUGGCGAAGGCGGCCUGCUGGGCUGUUGCUGACGCUGAGGCGCGACAGCGUGGGGAGCAAACAGG